rnacentral:rRNA from 1 species
UGGGGAAUAUUGGACAAUGGGCGCAAGCCUGAUCCAGCAAUGCCGCGUGUGUGAAGAAGGCCUUCGGGUUGUAAAGCACUUUUAUCAGGAGCGAAACGCUGUCGGCUAAUACCCGGCGGAACUGACGGUACCUGAGGAAUAAGCACCGGCUAACUUCGUGCCAGCAGCCGCGGUAAUACGAAGGUGCAAGCGUUAAUCGGAAUUACUGGGCGUAAAGCGUGCGUAGGCGGUUUCUUAAGUCUGCUGUGAAAUCCCCGGGCUCAACCUGGGAAUGGCAGUGGAUACUGGGAGGCUAGAGUGUGUCAGAGGGUGGUGGAAUUCCCGGUGUAGCGGUGAAAUGCGUAGAGAUCGGGAGGAACAUCAGUGGCGAAGGCGGCCACCUGGGACAACACUGACGCUGAGGCACGAAAGCGUGGGGAGCAAACAGGAUUAGAUACCCUGGUAGUCCACGCCCUAAACGAUGCGAACUGGAUGUUGGUCUCAACUCGGAGAUCAGUGUCGAAGCUAACGCGUUAAGUUCGCCGCCUGGGGAGUACGGUCGCAAGACUGAAACUCAAAUGAAUUGACGGGGUCAUAGCUGUUUCC